AUUGAACGCUGGCGGCAGGCCUAACACAUGCAAGUCGAGCGAGCGGCGGACGGGUGAGUAAUGUAUGGGGACUGCCCGAUAGAGGGGGAUAACUACUGGAAACGGUAGCUAAUACCGCAUACUAUCGGAUAACCCAUAUGGGAUUAGCUAUUGGUUGAGGUAAUGGCUCACCUAGGCGACGAUCCCUAGCUGGUCUGAGAGGAGGAGCAGCGACACUGGGACGGAAACACGGCCCAGACUCCGACGGAGGGAGCAGUGGGGAAUAUUGCACAAUGGGCGCAAGCCUGAUACAACCAUGCCGCGUAUAUGAAGAAGGCCAUAGGGUUGUAAAGUACUUUUGGCAGAGAAGCGGUAUCUGAAGAAUAAGCACCGGCUAACUACGUGCCAGCAGCCGCGGUAAUUC
rnacentral:rRNA from 1 species